CGAAUGGUGAUGCAAAUCUAUUUGAGAGUGAAAGAUGUGUUCGUCAGAAGGUUACUAAUGGAUGGAGAAAACUACCAUGUACAUCCUACCUCGGGUUCGCAUGUGAAAAACCUCCGAGUCCACGCCCGAUCCUUCCCAUACGCAUAAUAGCAGCUACUUCAUCCCCCUACAGAGGAGGUCUGCUGGAUGGGUCAUUUAUCUGUCUACUCGGCUCAGAGAAUGAAGAGAUUCUCAUAUUCUCAACCAGAAGACUCGUCCGUCUGACCGAGGCUAUAACUCCCGAUAGUUACACAGCUCCAGGAGACAGCAAUGAUGUAUCAUCUGUAGCACUAAGGCAGACUCUUCCAGCUACUAUGGAGGGCUUAGGCUUUUUCGAAUGUUCUUCAGUGACAGCCAGUAGAAUGACAUCUGUUCCUCUUGCCAUUCUUCUUUCUACCCGUGAAUUGCAACCCAUUGAUGGUCGGUUUACAAAGACAGUACACGUUGGAGAUAAUAUCACACUCAGUGUGAUGAUCACGACAGGGAUGCUAGGAGAAGACGCGAUAAGAUGGCGGAAAUUCACUGAUGUAGAUUGGGCUGAUUCUCUCAUUGGAAUGAGUUCUGACAGUCUAUCACAUACAA
rnacentral:lncRNA from 1 species